AGCGAAGGCCGGGCCGCCCGCCCGAAAGGGCUCUGGUUGGGUGCGGAGCAGUCCCGUACGAGGGCGCGCUGGGCCCGAGCCCCGCCCCGGCCCUACCUUCCCUGUGGAGGCUCUUCGCUGACCCCUGGGACGGUACCUGCCCGUUUCUACGCACCCACUGGGCGCGAGGGUCGGAGACCCACCCGCUCCCCAGCCCCGGGCACGCAUUCUCAAGAGGCAGCCGCGGGGUAGGGCCAAGCGGGCAGGUACGAUCAUGCUCCCUGUCCCCGAGGUAUUUGAGCGCCCUCAACAAAGGCGACCUGGGAAGCCCCUCCCGUCGGGGUGGCCGUCACAAUCUCGGCGGGCGACGCGAGGACCUCCGAGGGAAGGGGCGAACGCAGAGGGACUCUGGUGUUCUCACUGGGACUUCCCAACCUCACUUGCAGACCCCUGUUACAGCUGCUUUGCUCUGACUUGCGGGAGCAGGUCAUCGCGGGGCGACUUCCCAAGGUUCUAUCCCGCUAAGGGAUCUGCUGAAGUGCCUGUGUGUAAUGAGAAGGCAGGACUCAGCCUUUUCACGUGUGUGGAACCCGAAAGGUUGGAGCCACUAGAAACCGAGCGUCCAGGGGUGGAAGCCGAAGAACGGGAAUUACCUCCAGCACUGGCUAUGUCUUUUGCCACUUGAACCUUUCACUUGCUCAGCAUCUCACCCAGACCCCCCAGUAAGUGACUUUUUUAUGGACGGUUGAUGUUAAUAAACUUUGGCCCGGAACCGGAGACUAAACCUAAGUCUUCUCGCACCCAAAUCCACUAGAGGGCAGGGCUACACCUUCUGAGUUCGACCGCAUUCGCCACAAAGAACUGUAAAAACCGCAGGAGUCCUCCCUUGUGUGCUAGAGCAAAUUAUGAACAGUACAACAUACGUGGGAAGUUCAUUUCUUUUUCUGUUAAAGCAUGGAAUUGUCAUAUGAGGGGUCUGAUAAGUCAUCUAAUCCUCUCUUUCAUGAUGGAGAAACUGUCACUACAACAUCCCCCAAGGAGAUACCCUGCCCUCUGCAAAAGGCCUGUGCAUGCAUUGUCCAGAAUCACUACGUGAAACCACUUCAGCUAAACUUUGGGAGAAAUCAUGCCCUGCAUUUCAGAAUCAGAAGUGACCAGCCAAGGAAGAGAAUCAACUAUGCUUUCAAGAUCACCACAAAUAAGUAGUCUUUUAAAAAAAAUAUUCGCUGGGUGCCUGGGUGGCUCAGUUGGUUGGGCGACUGCCUUCAGCUCAGGUCAUGAUCCCACGGUCCUGGGAUCGAGUCCCGCAUCGGGCUCCCGGCUCUGCGGGGAGCCUGCUUCUCCCUCUCCCACUCCCCCUGCUUGUGUUCCCUCUCUCGCUGUGUCUCUC